AGUACGGUCGCAAGAUUAAAACUCAAAGGAAUUGACGGGGACCCGCACAAGCGGUGGAGCAUGUGGUUUAAUUCGACGCAACGCGCAGAACCUUACCAACCCUUGACAUACUUGUCGCGGAUUCCAGAGAUGGAUUCCUUCAGUUCGGCUGGACAAUGUACAGGUGCUGCAUGGCUGUCGUCAGCUCGUGUCGUGAGAUGUUCGGUUAAGUCCGGCAACGAGCGCAACCCACGUCCUUAGUUACCAGCAUUUAGUUGGGUACCCUAAGGAGACUGCCGGUGAUAAGCCGGAGGAAGGUGUGGACGACGUCAAGUCAUCAUGGCCCUUACGGGUUGGGCUACACACGUGCUACAAUGGCAUCUACAGUGAGUUAAUCUCCAAAAGAUGUCUCAGUUCGGAUUGGGGUCUGCAACUCGACCCCAUGAAGUUGGAAUCGCUAGUAAUCGCGGAACAGCAUGCCGCGGUGAAUACGUUCCCGGGCCUUGUACACACCGCCCGUCACACCAUGGGAAUUGGGUCUACCCGAAGGUGGUGCGCCAACUAUUUAUAGAGGCAGCCAACCACGGUAGGUUCAGUGACUGGGGUGAAGUCGUAACAAGGUAACC
rnacentral:rRNA from 1 species